UACGGAGGGUGCAAGCAUUAAUCGGAUUUACUGGGCGUAAAGGGCGCGUAGGCGGUCAGCACAAGUCAGUUGUGAAAUCUCCGGGCUUAACUCGGAAAGGUCAACUGAUACUGUGCGACUAGAGUGCGGAAGGGGCAACUGGAAUUCUCGGUGUAGCGGUGAAAUGCGUAGAUAUCGAGAGGAACACCUGCGGCGAAGGCGGGUUGCUGGGCCGACACUGACGCUGAUGCGCGAAAGCCAGGGGAGCGAACGGG
rnacentral:rRNA from 1 species